UACGGAGGGUGCAAGCGUUAUCCGGAUUCACUGGGUUUAAAGGGUGCGUAGGUGGGUCUGUAAGUCAGUGGUGAAAUCUCCGUGCUUAACACGGAAACUGCCAUUGAUACUAUAGGUCUUGAAUUUUCUGGAGGUCAGCGGAAUAUGUCAUGUAGCGGUAGAAAUGCUUAGAUAUGACAUAGAACACCAAUUGCGAAGGCAGCUGGCUACAGGGAUAUUGACACUGAGGCACGAAAGCGUGGGGAUCAAACAGG
rnacentral:rRNA from 1 species